AUAUAUUAUAAUAUGCUUUAUGAUCAAGACUUAAUCGUAACUGAAUUUUGAAUAUGAAAAUAGCAGUACACUGAAAAACAUAAUUAUUUUAAGAUUUGCAGCUAGAAGGAAACUUCUGAAAAUGUGUUACCAUGUCCUAUAGAUUAUGAAACAUUUGCAUGCUUUAUAGGCUCAAUUCACAUCAAAUUUAGUUUCUUUAGGAGUUCUUGUAGUCUAUGUUAAUCAGGAAACAUAUCCAACUUCUUGAUCUGUCAUGUUGAUUUGUUCAAAAUGUGAGCCACAUAUCAUCUAAAAUGUUCUUAUUUCUUGGAAACCUUUUUACCCUUCCUAAUCGAGAGAUAUAAAAAUUGAAAGCAUGUUUGCUGAUAUUUUUUAUCUCAUAGGAAGCAAGUGCAAUACCUUUUGCUGCACUAACGGCUUGGCGUGCUCUAAAAAGUACUGCCAGAAUAAUUGAAGGACAAAGGAUAUUAGUAGUGGGAGGUGGAGGAGCAGUAGCUUUUGCUGCAAUUCAGAUUGCAAUAGCUAUUGGUUGUCAUGUUGCAACCACUUGUGGAGGUCAAAGCAUUGAGCGACUAUUAGUAGCUAGUGUUGAGCAGGCUGUUGACUAUAUUACCGAGGCUCAGCAGGGAAUGCUUUCUAAAAAUGAUCUUAGGCCCUACUUUCAACAACUUAUAGAUGUUGUUGCUCAUUGUCACAAAAAGGGUGUGUACCACAAGAAGGGUGAAUUCACUUGUGAAGGAUUGAAAAUGUUGAUUUAUGAAUAAAAAAUAGGAAGCUGCUAAUUCUGCACUCAAGAAACAGAACUUGAAGCUUCAAGACCGAGAAUUACAACUCAGUUGUACCAAGACUGAUUCUACUCCAUCGAAAAAGCCAAAGCCAAAGUCAUCACCAGCACAAGCUCUUGGCACCCCAGCCAAGAGAAUGUCUCUAGCUAUGAUGUCUCCUUCAAGCAGCAUCAACAGUUCUGGUGGAGAAAAUACCGAGGGUUCAACCAAAUGUUAAGAAGCUAUUUCACAGUGACAAGGAUCUUUUUCCUUAUGAAUUAUGGAGAGUAAACACAUGCACCUCAUAUUUUGUAGAUAAAAUGCAUGAAAUGUGGAGGAAAAUUUGAUCGUCAGGAAAGGAUGAUGGAUCUUACCAUUGAGAUAGAAGGGGAGAUGGCAACUCUGUUGGAAUCUCAUUUUGAGUUUAUAGGCUUGUAGUAUUAUUUGUUGUUUAGAUUUGUAACAUGAUUUAUUACUUUUCAAGAGAAAUUUAUCUAUUAAUAUUUUGAGUUUAAUAAAAUAUCUCAUUUUGUAGUAA